rnacentral:tRNA from 1 species
CCGUCGAUAGCUCAGUUGGUAGAACGGUGGACUGUAGAUCCAUAGGUCGCUGGUUCGAAUCCGGAUCGACGGA